CCUACGGGGGGCUGCAGUGGGGAAUAUUGGACAAUGGGGGGAACCCUGAUCCAGCCAUGCCGCGUGUGUGAAGAAGGCCCUCGGGAUGUAAAGCACUUUCAGUGAGGAAGAACGCCUGGUGGUUAAUACCCAUCAGGUAAGACAUCACUCACAGAAGAAGCACCGGCUAACUCCGUGCCAGCAGCCGCGGUAAUACGGAGGGUGCGAGCGUUAAUCGGAAUUACUGGGCGUAAAGCGCGCGUAGGUGGCUUGAUAAGCCGGUUGUGAAAGCCCCGGGCUCAACCUGGGAACGGCAUCCGGAACUGUCAAGCUAGAGUGCAGGAGAGGAAGGUAGAAUUCCCGGUGUAGCGGUGAAAUGCGUAGAGAUCGGGAGGAAUACCAGUGGCGAAGGCGGCCUUCUGGACUGACACUGACACUGAGGUGCGAAAGCGUGGGUAGCAAACAGGAUUAGAUACCCUUGUAGUC
rnacentral:rRNA from 1 species